CAACAACAACAACAACAACAACAAUGGGACAAAUCCUCUUGAUGGAUGUUCAGAGGACAUGGCGUUUCUUCUUCAACUCUCAUCGGACUUGACGAGAAACUCCACAAUGAAAAAGAAGGGAUGAUGUUGAAUUAUGGACUCAAUCGAUGGAGAUAUAUGCACAAGUUGUUAUUGAAGUGGAACUCGACAAGGCACCAAAAUUCAAAGCAAAACUUGUGAACAAAAAGGAUGGUGAUGUUUUCCUAAAAGCGGGUUCUUAAGGAGAUAAGUCAAUGGACCUUAAGAAGCUGCAAACUGCUAGAAAGAUGGUUAAUCUACUGAGGAACCCAUAUGUACUCAGGCCAAAACACCAGUCACAGAUGUCUCAAGCCAAUGGCGGUUAACAGAACAUGCUGAAAAGCGAAAAGAGUGUCAAAACAUAGCUAGCUCUACCAAACUGAAUUGGGAAAAUAUAAACUAGAGGUACUCUCUGAUUCCACAGGUGUGCGUCUGUGUUCGUGUUCCAACUUCCAACUAGGACGAUGAUUCAGAGUUUUUCAAAGAAGUAUGAAGUAGAUUCAGAACAAAACCGGUCAACGACGUGUUCUUAUAGUUAGAACAUCAAACUGAUUGGUUAAAAGAUCGGAGAUAUGCUAUGUUUUGAAGAAUGACGAAGAUUCAGAACCAAACAAAAACAAAUUUCUCCUUACGGGAUGACCUGGCCAAGUCAACAACAACACAAAACAAUGGGGAAAAUCCUAUGUCACUGUAAGUAAACUCUUAUUAAGAUCUUAUUAUGACUUUUCCUUCUGUUUCAAGUUUUAUCACUAAUCAAUAAUAAUGAUCUCUUUUUUCCUUUCUUUUGUGUGUUAUAUAUGUUAUCACCUUCACCUUCUCUUUUCUACUCUCAGAAUCCAAGCAUUGUUGAUGAAUAAUAUAUGUUGGAAGCAUUGUUUUCGUGUCUUUUCAAGUGAUGGAUGUUCAGAGGACAUGGCGUUUCUUCUUCAACUUUCAUCUGAUUUGACGAGAAAGUCCACAAAGGAAAAGAUGAUGGAGAUAUAUGGAGAUUUACUUUCUUCUCAUAAUUAUUAUUAGGGAUGAUGCUGAAUUAUGGACCCAAUCGAUGAAGAUAUAUGUUUUGCUAUUGAAGUGGAACUCGACAAGGCACCAGAAUUCAAAGCAAAAAUUGUGAACAAAAAGGUACUUGUCAUUGCCUCAUGUCAGUAAUUCCAUUAUGCAGGCAAUAAACAAUUGAGCUGUUGCUCAAGGAGAU